rnacentral:lncRNA from 1 species
ACGGAACCGAAUGCAUAACAAAAUAGGAUAAAAAGAGGCUUACCUCGGAGCUUCAAUUUUAAAGGCAGGAUGUAUGUCGGAACUCUACAGCCCAUGGGAAUCGACAAUGAGCUACUUGUCCAACUAUUCCAGCGCAGUUUGACCGGACCCGCGCUGACUUGGUUGAUGAACACUGACCUAACUUUCCCAUGAGGAGGGAAAACAAAAUCCAAGUUGGGAGGAUAACUUCACUUUCCCCCCAACUUUCCCAUGGGCCAGUCAACGAUUUCUCAUGCAUGAACUUACCAAAUAUGGGAAAACAAUUGAUUUCUCAUCCCCAAGUCUCCUUUCCCAUGAACCGAACGGGGCCUAACCCCAAUAAACGCUGCAAUCUACGGGUUCUUAUCUCCAAUCUAAGGUCAGAUUUGGUUGAUUUGUAAAGGUUUUUAUUUUUAUUUUUUUGGGUAUAAGCUGAGGAAACUUAUGAAUAUUAUUUGAUUUAUUUCGUUUAAUAUUACCCUUAAUUUGAUUUACUUAGCUAGAUCGUUGUUCAUAGCUGCUUCUCCUUUAUUUUGUAUCACAAUUUACAUAAAAAUAAAAAACCGUAAUUAAGAUUUAAAUUCAGUAAUGAAGGCUUAGCGGCAAUCCUUUGGAGUGGUGAUUGCUACUUCUAUAUUGUUUCAUUUCUCAUAUUAGUUGUUAUACUUUUGUUCACUGGAUGAGUUUGAUGGUCGGCAAGUAGAUGUGGGUUAAAAUUGUUUUUGUUUUUAUUUUUUUUGAUAAAAAAAGUUUAGGGGUAAACUCACAACUUUGAGUCAGUAGAAUUUAUGCAUCAGUUAAUUUACAUGUUUAAUCAGUUGAGUUUUUUACUCUUAAUUUUAUUUUUCUUAGUUUUUUUGUGUCAAUUUUUUGCUUAAUUAUGUAUGUAAUUCUUAAUCAGUGUGACAAUGUUAUAUUUAUUCUAAUGGUCAACAGUAGAAGUAUGAAUGCAAAUAAAAUUAUCUGGAAAAAAAAAAUACCAUUUUAAAAAGAAAUAAAAUAAAUUAUUUAUUAAUAAACAAAAGAAAUUGAAUAAAAUAGAAAAGAGACUACGCUAAAUACACUUUGAGAGGGUGACCCAACCGAAACCCCUGGGGAUGGAUAGACAAAAGCUCCACCGACCUCUGCAGCAGAGAUAUGUAUGCAAAUGUUAACAUCUUCAAGUUCGAAAUUUGAUAUUGUUCGUUGCUUCUCCAUGAUUCGCCUUUUGUUUCUACCAUCUAUUUGGGCAAUUUAAAUAUUUUUAUUUAACUUUUUUGCUUUUUUGGGACUUCUGGGUUCGCAGAAAGAGUUUGGAAUCGUUGUUGUUUUGGGAUCAUAAAGCGUCUGGCUUGUGUAAAUUCUAUGAUACAAAGAGCAAUCCACCAAUAGAUUUUGAUUUAUCCAGGCAUUCAUUGCCUGUUGAAUUGAUCCAGCAGUUCCUAAAAGAGUAGUUUGAGUUCCUUCUUUUUCCCUGGUCAAGCCCUCUUUGUUUCCGAAACCAACCAUUUGUAAUUUACAUUAUACGCAACAGAAGCACAUGAAGUACUAAACGGAAUAGGUAUUAGUUUGGUAAUGGUUGGAGCAGCAAACUCGGAUUCGGCAAGAAUCUCAUUUUUUGGUAGUACGAAGGGGGAAUUGGCACAAAAAUUGGAUAGGGGUCAAGACGCAAUCGGGCGCCGGCGGCUGACUCAAGUGCCCCCCGAACCGCGCGAAAUGGUAGCCUAUUACACGGCUCACGGUGUGUAACACAUCUAAUUGGAAGUGGAAUGAAGAUAAUGCGCUUUACUCUUUCAUUUGUAGCUGGAUUAGCGCUUUGGCUGGGCUAACUUUCAUCUGUUCUGUUUAGUUUUUCACUAAGCCUCAUCUGAGUGAUAUAUACAUAGCUCCUUGAUUACUUAUCAAAUAAAAAUAAAAUUCACUUUCUUUAAUCACUUUCUCUCCCCGAUCUCAUUAGCUUAGUAGCAGCAGUGGAAGUCAUAGUAGUUGUAGCAGAGUAAGCUAGAGCCAGAAGCGUUCCACCUACUACCAUAUGGAGAGCCAGUUCUCGUCAUCCAUUUAUAUGUGCGCCACCUUGCCUAGCAUUUCUUACAAUUCGGAUAGCAGUAUACCUUCAAUUUCUAGAUCCAGAGCAUCUAAUUUAAAUUCGGAUAACCAUUUGCAGUUCUAUUUCGUGAGCCAUAGCCCGUAGAUAAAGGGGGCUGGCUGUUCCUUAGGAUGGGUUGGAAAUAUAUAUAGGAUAUAGGGAUCGGGGAGGAGAUUGUUAAGGUGGUUGAGUUACCCAUAGUGGCUUUCGGUCAAUCAUGGUGCGAAGCGAAGUAUUCGAGUGAAGAAAGAAGAGAGAGGGAAUGCUUUGCCAGCGAACCAGUAGCACGAUUGCAGUUCCUCGGUCUCAGUCCUGCGAGCGAAAGGUGCCAAGCUAAAGUAAGAGAAUCCGCUGCAAGUGCAAGACCAGACGUUAAUCAGGAAGCAUACAACAGCAAGCACACAUCUUUGCGGUCUUUCUAAACCUUAUUUAUUAUAUUAAGCCGGUGUCAGCCUUUAGGUUUUUAUCCCUAAUCUUGAGUGUUGAACCAUAGGUUCGGCACAAGAGGAAUCUUUCUUAGACUCGGUUCGCCGUCAGUUUGCAAACUGCGGGUGGGUGCGAACUACUAGAGGCCCGUCCAGGAGGUUAGUCAAAAUAGAGGACCUAGAACGCCUUGGUGAAUCAGACCCAGAGAUCAUGGCCAACAACGCCAGUCACCGAGGUAACUUGCUUACUCUCUAUGAUGGGGACAAUGAAGAGUCUACUGGCUGUAACCACCAGCGGAACCCUACAGCCCCGGCAAAUCAGCAACUUUCUAACGAGGUAGUUAGCCGUCAACUAGGUGAGAUUGCCUGGAUACUAGCACAAUUGACCUCGCAGGUAGCCGAAAUACCCUGGCUGCACCUGCUGCUCAAGGAACAAACCCUCCAUCUACCAUCCCGGCCCAGGGGACACAAAUGCACAACCACAAAGCCAACCAAGAGUAGCAGAUGCUAGACCUGUAGACCCAGUACCCCCUUCAGUUCAGAAUCAGCCCGCAGUUCCUGAACCUAUGGAUCACUACGAGAAAGAGAUCUGAAGAAAGCCUCCUGCAGUACCGGCCGUGUCCUUGGCUUCCACUCCCAUGAAUCAGAUAGUGCCAUACGUCCCACCACAGCCGUCCGAUCCUCUGAUGGAGAAGAUCAGUCGCCUUGAACGGGCAGUUAAUAAAUUGACUGGGGACGAGUAUGAUGUUUUAGAUCUUGAUAAUCUCUCCCUAUACCCAAAGUAAGGAUUCCGUACGGUUUUAAGUGGCCAGAGAUAUAUAAGUAUAACGGAACCGAAUGCAUAACAAAAUAGGAUAAAAAGAGGCUUACCUCGGAGCUUCAAUUUUAAAGGCAGGAUGUAUGUCGGAACUCUACAGCCCAUGGGAAUCGACAAUGAGCUACUUGUCCAACUAUUCCAGCGCAGUUUGACCGGACCCGCGCUGACUUGGUUGAUGAACACUGACCUAACUUUCCCAUGAGGAGGGAAAACAAAAUCCAAGUUGGGAGGAUAACUUCACUUUCCCCCCAACUUUCCCAUGGGCCAGUCAACGAUUUCUCAUGCAUGAACUUACCAAACAUGGGAAAACAAUUGAUUUCU